AGCAGUCCCUCAUAAUCACCACACCUGGGAAUGUGCCAAGUCUCAUCUGAAGUAAGCGCAGCUCUGAGUCUCACCCAACGCUCAUGCUACAGAGCAGCAUCUGAAGAGCCACGGGGCCCCCACCUUCAUCCCUGAGAAUUUUAGGAGCCAGCCUGCCUUUCCAGGUGACACUGGACACUUUCAUCUGAGAACCCUGUCACAUGACAGUUGUUUCCUUUCUUCCUCCUCUCCUGGGAAUGCUGCUGCUUCGAUGACCCAAGAGCCUAAGAAGGGUAGCUGUUUCUCAAUACACUGAGAGAGAGUUCUUUCUCCGUCCUGACCAUCUUGGGACCCGAUGGCAAGACUGGAAGGAUUUAUAUCUCCUUUUGUACAGAAAACUGCCUCCCCAUGUUGGUUUGUGAAGUGAAAUGCAUAUAAAACAGAGGAUUCCAGACUCUCAGAAGUCAAUACAUAAAUAAAUAAAAAUAAAACUGAGAAGAUA
rnacentral:lncRNA from 1 species